rnacentral:rRNA from 1 species
UACGGGAGGCAGCAGUGGGGAAUAUUGCACAAUGGGCGAAAGCCUGAUGCAGCUAUGCCGCGUGUAUGAAGAAGGCCUUAGGGUUGUAAAGUACUUUCAUCGGGGAGGAAAAACAAAACUAAUAAUUUUAUUUCUUGACGUUACCCGAAAAAGAAGCACCGGCUAACUCUGUGCCAGCAGCCGCGGUAAUACGGAGGGUGCUAGCGUUAAUCAGAAUUACUGGGCGUAAAGAGCACGUAGGUGGUUUUUUUAAGUCAGAUGUGAAAUCCCUGGGCUUAACCUAGGAACUGCAUUUUGAAACUGAAAUACUAGAGUAUCGUAGAGGGAGGUAGAAUUCUAGGUGUAGCGGUGAAAUGCGUAGAUAUCUGGAGGAAUACCUGUGGCGAAAGCGGCCUCCUAAACGAAUACUGACACUGAGGUGCGAAAGCGUGGGGAGCAAACAGGGAUUAGAUACC